rfam:Monodelphis domestica chromosome X, whole genome shotgun sequence.
CUUUGUACAAGAUGCUCUGUUUUGUAAAUAUCAUCAAAUAGAGCAUACUUGUGCAAAGGA